UUCUGUGAAACGCAAACUUAUUGAAAGAUAAGGGCGCAAAGCCUCAGGUCUAAGGCCAUGUAUGGUUAAGACGGCUGGGCUGCCGCA
rfam:Bacillus infantis NRRL B-14911, complete genome.